rnacentral:lncRNA from 1 species
UUAUCUUCACGUUAAAUAUAGUUAAACACUAUACGUGACAAGAAAGAUUCAAAAAAUGCGCCACAUCAACUUAAUAACCAAUUGGACCCUUCUGAACUCUAGCGCCACCCUCAUCCCUCAAAUCCAACCCCCUCUUUUUCCAAGAUGUAGCGGCUUCCGGUGGUGGUGCGACAAGCGGCGUUGGCCCUCCGCAUCACCCUCUGUCCAGAUCGGCGCCGAAAGUUUCAGAUUGUUUCCUUCUAGUUCUGCGGCAGCUUCUUUCUAGUGUGGUGUUGACN